GCCUUAAGUCAAUGUUUAAUUUCAUACAUAGAACUUGUGGUCUUUUGACUUUGAGCCCCUAUAUAAACUUGACUAAAUCAUACAUGUUGUAUAUGAUCAACGGCUCAAGAAGCUGCAAAGGAAGUCCCGCACACAAACAGCACCUCUUUCAACACAGACUCUAGUCUGCUAAUGACAAACCAACUCUUGCUGAAAGAGAUUGAAAAAGGGUCAAGUUUUGUGUCAUCUCCUUUGUCAUUCCAUUUGACUUCGAGCCUUGUCGUUGCAGGAUCAACAGGCAAGACUUUAGAGCAGCUUCUUUCUUUUCUGGGGACACAGUAUUUGGGAACUCAAUCAGUUGGCAUCAUUUAUUGCCAGGAUUACGCUGCCUGCCGAGGAAGAAAAAACUGGAAAGAAACGUGCCAGAACAUCAGAUCCAACAUUGUUGUUCAUUAGUGGUGUUAGGGUCGAUCAAUGUUACAGCUUGAAUCCUUCUUUUGAAGGGAUUGUAAGAGAGGUCUACAAUGCUGAAGCUGAAGUUGACUUUCUAAAAAAGCCUGAUGAAGCAAGAGAAGGAGGUGAGUUUGUGGGCUGAAAGAAAGACGAGAGGAUUGAUCCUUUGAAGCUUACAAAGUGCUUAAACUGCCCUACCAAACUGGUCUAGACACCUGGCACUUUUCUAUGUAUUUCUUUCUUCCAGAUAAGAAAGAUGGCUUGUCAAAUCUGGUCAAAAUGAUUAAUUCUAAACCUGGAUUCUUUAAUCAGCAAUUCAAUCUGUGGAAAGUAGAACUUUCAUGUUCAUGAUAAGGGAAGAAGCUGCUAGAACUGUGUUCUUCACUGGAGCUGUGCUUAACCCACUAUCCAUGUCUUGAAACAUAAUCUGAUGGUCACGGUUUUUCAUUUGACAAUUAAGAAAUAAAAUUUCUGUAGUUUGCUCGUAUGAUGCUGCCAAUGUCUACUUGAUUUCACCUUCUUACAUAUUGUAAUAUGCCAAAACAGUGGUUAAAGUGGUUAUCAAUAAGAGUUCUCCACUAAAACUUGUGACCUAUCACAU